rnacentral:rRNA from 1 species
AGCGAACGCUGGCGGCAGGCUUAACACAUGCAAGUCGAACGCCCCGCAAGGGGAGUGGCAGACGGGUGAGUAACACGUGGGAACGUACCCUUUGGUUCCGAAUCACUUGGGGAAACUCAAGCUAAUACCGGAUAAGCCCUUAGGGGGAAAGGUUUACUGCCGAAGGAUCGGCCCGCGUCUGAUUAGCUAGUUGGUGAGGUAAUGGCUCACCAAGGCGACGAUCAGUAGCUGGUCUGAGAGGAUGAUCAGCCACACUGGGACUGAGACACGGCCCAGACUCCUACGGGAGGCAGCAGUGGGGAAUAUUGGACAAUGGGGGCAACCCUGAUCCAGCCAUGCCGCGUGAGCGAUGAGGGCCUUAGGGUUGUAAAGCUCUUUUACCCGGGACGAUAAUGACUGUACCGGGAGAAUAAGCCCCGGCUAACUUCGUGCCAGCCGCCGCGGUAA